rnacentral:rRNA from 1 species
UACGAAGGGGGCUAGCGUUGUUCGGAAUUACUGGGCGUAAAGCGCGUGUAGGCGGGUCUUUAAGUCAGGGGGGAAAUGCCAAGGCUCAGCCUUGGAACUGCCUUUGAUACUGGAGACCUUGAGUCCGGGAGAGGUGAGUGGAAUUGCGAGUGUAGAGGUGAAAUUCGUAGAUAUUCGCAAGAACACCAGUGGCGAAGGCGGCUCACUGGCCCGGAACUGACGCUGAGACGCGAAAGCGUGGGGAGCAAACAGG